rnacentral:rRNA from 1 species
AGAGUUUGAUCCUGGCUCAGGAUGAACGCUAGCGGCAGGCUUAAUACAUGCAAGUCGAGGGGCAGCACAGGUAGCAAUACUGGGUGGCGACCGGCAAACGGGUGCGGAACACGUACGCAACCUUCCUUUAAGCGGGGGAUAGCCCAGGGAAACUUGGAUUAAUACCCCAUAAUAUUGUUGACUGGCAUCAGUUGGCAAUU